rnacentral:rRNA from 1 species
GAGUUUGAUCCUGGCUCAGGAUGAACGCUGGCGGCGUGCCUAACACAUGCAAGUCGAGCGGAGCAAUCUUGAUGAAGUUUUCGGAUGGAAUCAGGAUUGACUUAGCGGCGGACGGGUGAGUAACACGUGGAUAACCUGCCUUAUACUGGGGGAUAACAGCCAGAAAUGGCUGCUAAUACCGCAUAAGCGCACGGCGCCGCAUGGCGCAGUGUGAAAAACUCCGGUGGUAUAAGAUGGAUCCGCGCCUGAUUAGCUAGUUGGCGGGGCAGCGGCCCACCAAGGCGACGAUCAGUAGCCGGCCUGAGAGGGCGACCGGCCACAUUGGGACUGAGACACGGCCCAAACUCCUACGGGAGGCAGCAGUGGGGAAUAUUGCACAAUGGGGGGAACCCUGAUGCAGCGACGCCGCGUGAGUGAAGAAGUAUUUCGGUAUGUAAAGCUCUAUCAGCAGGGAAGAAGAUGACGGUACCUGACUAAGAAGCCCCGGCUAACUACGUGCCAGCAGCCGCGGUAAUACGUAGGGGGCAAGCGUU